rnacentral:rRNA from 1 species
GACGAACGCUGGCGGCGUGCCUAACACAUGCAAGUCGAACGGCAAGGCCCUGCUUUCGUGCGGUGCCCGAGUGGCGAACGGGUGAGUAACACGUGAGUAACCUGCCCUUGACUUUGGGAUAACUUCAGGAAACUGGGGCUAAUACCGGAUCGGAGCCGCUGCUGCAUGGUGGGGGUUGGAACGUUUCAGCGGUCGGGGAUGGACGCGCGGCUUAUCAGCUUGUUGGUGGGGUAGUGGCUUACCAAGGCUUUGACGGGUAGCCGGCCUGAGAGGGUGACCGGCCACAUUGGGCCUGAGGGACGGCCCAGACUGGAACGUUAGGCAGCAGUGGGAAGUAUUGCACAGUGAGCCGAAGCCGGAUACAGCGACGCCGCGUGCGGAAUGACGGCCUUCUGGGUGUGAACCGCAUUCGCCUGUGACGAAGCGUGUGUGACGGUAAUGGAUAAAGAAGCACCGGCUAACUACGUG